rnacentral:rRNA from 1 species
UACGAAGGGGGCUAGCGUUGCUCGGAAUCACUGGGCGUAAAGCGCACGUAGGCGGACUCUUAAGUCGGUGGUGAAAUCCUGGAGCUCAACUCCAGAACUGCCUUCGAUACUGAGAAGCUUGAGUCCGGGAGAGGUGAGUGGAACUGCGAGUGUAGAGGUGAAAUUCGUAGAUAUUCGCAAGAACACCAGUGGCGAAGGCGGCUCACUGGCCCGGUACUGACGCUGAGGUGCGAAAGCGUGGGGAGCAAACAGG